rnacentral:rRNA from 1 species
GAUGAACGCUGGCGGCGUGCCUAAUACAUGCAAGUCGAGCGAACAGACGAGGAGCUUGCUCCUCUGACGUUAGCGGCGGACGGGUGAGUAACACGUGUAUAACCUACCUAUAAGACUGGGAUAACUUCGGGAAACCGGAGCUAAUACCGGAUAAUAUAUUGAACCGCAUGGUUCAAUAGUGAAAGACGGUUUUGCUGUCACUUAUAGAUGGAUCCGCGCCGCAUUAGCUAGUUGGUAAGGUAACGGCUUACCAAGGCGACGAUGCGUAGCCGACCUGAGAGGGUGAUCGGCCACACUGGAACUGAGACACCGUCCAGGCUCCUACGGGAGGCAGCAGUAGGGAAUCUUCCGCAGUAGGCGAAAGCCUGACGGAGCAACGCCGCGUGAGUGAUGAAGGUCUUCGGAUCGUAAAACUCUGUUAUUAGGGAAGAACAAAUGUGUAAGUAACUAUGCACGUCUUGACGGUACCUAAUCAGAAAGCCACGGCUAACUACGUG